rnacentral:rRNA from 1 species
UACGGAAGGCAGCAGGGGGAAUAUUGCACAAUGGGCGCAAGCCUGAUGCAGCCAUGCCGCGUGUAUGAAAAAGGCCUUCGGGUUGUAAAGUACUUUCAGUCGUGAGGAAGGUGUUAAGGUUAAUAACCUUAGCAAUUGACGUUAGCGACAGAAGAAGCACCGGCUAACUCCGUGCCAGCAGCCGCGGUAAUACGGAGGGUGCGAGCGUUAAUCGGAAUUACUGGGCGUAAAGGGCACGCAGGCGGUUAAUUAAGUUGGAUGUGAAAUCCCCGGGCUUAACCUGGGAAUGGCAUUCAAGACUGGUUAGCUAGAGUCUUGUAGAGGGGGUAGAAUUCCAUGUGUAGCGGUGAAAUGCGUAGAGAUGUGGAGGAAUACCGGUGGCGAAGGCGGCCCCUGGACAAAGACUGACGCUCAUGUGCGAAAGCGUGGGGAGCAAACGAGGGAUUAGAUACCCG